GCAUUGGUGGUUCAGUGGUGGAAUUCUUACCAUCAGUGUGGGAGGUCUGGGUUUGAUUCCCAGCCAGUACA
rnacentral:tRNA from 1 species